UACGUAGGCGGCGGGCGUUGUUCGGAGUUACUGGGCGUAAAGAGUGCGUAGGCGGUUUUCUAAGUUUGGUGUGAAAUCUCCCGGCUUAACUGGGAGGGUGCGCCGGAAACUGGGCCGCUGGAGUACGGGAGAGGCAAGCGGAAUUCCAGGUGUAGCGGUGAAAUGCGUAGAUAUCUGGAGGAACACCCGUGGUGCAGACGGCUUGCUGGACCGUGACUGACGCUGAGGCACGAAAGCGUGGGUAGCAAACCGG
rnacentral:rRNA from 1 species